rnacentral:rRNA from 1 species
GAUGAACGCUGGCGGCGUGCCUAAUACAUGCAAGUCGAGCGAAUGGAUUAAGAGCUUGCUCUCAUGAAGUUAGCGGCGGACGGGUGAGUAACACGUGGGUAACCUGCCCAUAAGACUGGGAUAACUCCGGGAAACCGGGGCUAAUACCGGAUAAUAUUUUGAACUGCAUGGUUCAAAAUUGAAAGGCGGCUUCGGCUGUCACUUAUGGAUGGACCCGCGUCGCAUUAGCUAGUUGGUGAGGUAACGGCUCACCAAGGCAACGAUGCGUAGCCGACCUGAGAGGGUGAUAGGCCACACUGGGACUGAGACACGGCCCAGACUCCUACGGGAGGCAGCAGUAGGGAAUCUUCCGCAAUGGACGAAAGUCUGACGGAGCAACGCCGCGUGAGUGAUGAAGGCUUUCGGGUCGUAAAACUCUGUUGUUAGGGAAGAACAAGUGCUAGUUGAAUAAGCUGGCACCUUGACGGUACCUAACCAGAAAGCCACGGCUAACUACGUGCCAGCCGCCGCGGUAA